CCCUUCGGGGUGCCCAGGCGCGAAAACUUUACAAUGCUGGCAACAGCGAUAAGGGGACCUCGAGUGCCAGGAUACAAUCUUGGCUGUCGCGAUGCCUAAAAAGCAUUGCAUAGCGAGGGCCGGGCAAGACCGGUGCCAGCCGCCGCGGUAACACCGGCGGCUCGAGUGGUAACCGCUAUUAUUGGGUCUAAAGGGUCUGUAGCCGGCCGGAUAAGUCUUUUGGGAAAUCCAGCUGCUCAACAGUUGGGCUUUCAGAAGAUACUGUUCGGCUCGAGACCGGGAGAGGUGAGAGGUACUUCAGGGGUAGGGGUGAAAUCUUGUAAUCCUUGAAGGACCACCAGUGGCGAAGGCGUCUCACCAGAACGGAUCUGACGGCAAGGGACGAAAGCUAGGGGCACGAACCGGAUUAGAUACCCGGGUAGUCCUAGCCGUAAACGAUACUCGCUAGGUGUCAGCCACGGUGCGACCGUGGUUGGUGCCGUAGGGAAGCCGUGAAGCGAGCCACCUGGGAAGUACGGCCGCAAGGCUGAAACUUAAAGGAAUUGGCGGGGGAGCAC
rnacentral:rRNA from 1 species